rnacentral:rRNA from 1 species
UACAGAGGUCCCGAGCGUUGUUCGGAUUUACUGGGUUUAAAGGGUGCGUAGGCGGACAGGUAAGUCAGUGGUGAAAUCCCCGAGCUCAACUUGGGAACUGCCGUUGAUACUAUCUGUCUUGAAUACCGUGGAGGUGAGCGGGAUAUGUCAUGUAGCGGUGAAAUGCUUAGAUAUGACAUAGAACACCGAUUGCGAAGGCAGCUCACUACGCGGUCAUUGACGCUGAGGCACGAAAGCGUGGGGAGCAAACAGG